rnacentral:tRNA from 1 species
GCUCCUAUGGACUCAGCGGAUAAGUCAUCGCCCUGUCACGGCGGAGAUCCGGGUUCAACUCCCGGUGGGAGCG